rnacentral:rRNA from 1 species
UGCGUAGGCGGAACCGCAAGUUAGAUGUGAAAUUUCUGGGCUUAACCUGGGAGCUGCAUUUAAGACUGCGGAUCUAGAGGAUAGAUGGAGGAAACGGAAUUCCACGUGUAGCGGUGAAAUGCGUAGAUAUGUGGAAGAACACCCGUGGCGUAGGCGGUUUCCUAAUUUAGACCUGACGCUGAGGCACGAAAGCAAGGGGAGCAAACA